UACGAAGGGGGCUAGCGUUGCUCGGAAUCACUGGGCGUAAAGGGUGCGUAGGCGGGUCUUUAAGUCAGGGGUGAAAUCCUGGAGCUUAACUCCAGAACUGCCUUUGAUACUGAAGAUCUUGAGUUCGGGAGAGGUGAGUGGAACUGCGAGUGUAGAGGUGAAAUUCGUAGAUAUUCGCAAGAACACCAGUGGCGAAGGCGGCUCACUGGCCCGAUACUGACGCUGAGGUGCGAAAGCGUGGGGAGCAAACAGG
rnacentral:rRNA from 1 species